GACGAACGCUGGCGGCGUGCUUAACACAUGCAAGUCGAACGGAGAGGCCCUGCUUUUGUGGGGUGCUCGAGUGGCGAACGGGUGAGUAACACGUGAGUAACCUGCCCUUGACUUUGGGAUAACUUCAGGAAACUGGGGCUAAUACCGGAUAGGAGCUCCUGCUGCAUGGUGGGGGUUGGAAAGUUUCGGCGGUUGGGGAUGGACUCGCGGCUUAUCAGCUUGUUGGUGGGGUAGUGGCUUACCAAGGCUUUGACGGGUAGCCGGCCUGAGAGGGUGACCGGCCACAUUGGGACUGAGAUACGGCCCAGACUCCUACGGGAGGCAGCAGUGGGGAAUAUUGCACAAUGGGCGGAAGCCUGAUGCAGCAACGCCGCGUGCGGGAUGACGGCCUUCGGGUUGUAAACCGCUUUCGCCUGUGACGAAGCGUGAGUGACGGUAAUGGGUAAAGAAGCACCGGCUAACUACGUGCCAGCAGCCGCGGUGAUACGUAGGGUGCGAGCGUUGUCCGGAUUUAUUGGGCGUAAAGGGCUCGUAGGUGGUUGAUCGCGUCGGAAGUGUAAUCUUGGGGCUUAACCCUGAGCGUGCUUUCGAUACGGGUUGACUUGAGGAAGGUAGGGGAGAAUGGAAUUCCUGGUGGAGCGGUGGAAUGCGCAGAUAUCAGGAGGAACACCAGUGGCGAAGGCGGUUCUCUGGGCCUUUCCUGACGCUGAGGAGCGAAAGCGUGGGGAGCGAACAGGCUUAGAUACCCUGGUAGUCCACGCUGUAAACGGUGGGUACUAGGUGUGGGGUCCAUUCCACGGGUUCCGUGCCGUAGCUAACGCUUUAAGUACCCCGCCUGGGGAGUACGGCCGCAAGGCUAAAACUCAAAGGAAUUGACGGGGCCCCGCACAAGCGGCGGAGCAUGCGGAUUAAUUCGAUGCAACGCGUAGAACCUUACCUGGGUUUGACAUGGAUCGGGAGUGCUCAGAGAUGGGUGUGCCUCUUUUGGGGUCGGUUCACAGGUGGUGCAUGGCUGUCGUCAGCUCGUGUCGUGAGAUGUUGGGUUAAGUCCCGCAACGAGCGCAACCCUUGUUCACUGUUGCCAGCACGUUAUGGUGGGGACUCAGUGGAGACCGCCGGGGUCAACUCGGAGGAAGGUGGGGAUGACGUCAAGUCAUCAUGCCCCUUAUGUCCAGGGCUUCACGCAUGCUACAAUGGCUGGUACAGAGAGUGGCGAGCCUGUGAGGGUGAGCGAAUCUCGGAAAGCCGGUCUCAGUUCGGAUUGGGGUCUGCAACUCGACCUCAUGAAGUCGGAGUCGCUAGUAAUCGCAGAUCAGCAACGCUGCGGUGAAUAAAUUCCCGGGGCU
rnacentral:rRNA from 1 species